UACGUAGGGCGCAAGCGUUGUCCGGAUUUAUUGGGCGUAAAGAGCUCGUAGGCGGUUUGUCGCGUCUUCCGUGAAAACUGGGGGCUUAACUUCCAGCUUGCGGUGGAUACGGGCUGACUGGAGUGCGGCAGGGGAGACUGGAAUUCCUGGUGUAGCGGUGAAAUGCGCAGAUAUCAGGAGGAACACCAGAGGCGAAAGCGGCGACCUGGACAGGCACUGACACUCAACUACGAAAGCGUGGGGAGCAAACAGG
rnacentral:rRNA from 1 species